rnacentral:rRNA from 1 species
GAUGAACGCUGGCGGCGUGCCUAAUACAUGCAAGUCGAGCGAACAGACGAGGAGCUUGCUCCUCUGACGUUAGCGGCGGACGGGUGAGUAACACGUGGAUAACCUACCUAUAAGACUGGGAUAACUUCGGGAAACCGGAGCUAAUACCGGAUAUAAUUUGAAACGCAUGGUUCAAUUGUGAAAAACCGUUUUUCCUUCCACUUAUAAGUGAACCGCCCCGAAUUAGGCUGUUGGUAAGGUAACGUCUUACCAAGGCAACGAUGAGUAGCCGACCCGAGAGGGUGAUCGGCCACACUGGAACUGAGACACGGUCCAGACUCCUACGGGAGGCAGCAGUAGGGAAUCUUCCGCAAUGGGCGAAAGCCUGACGGAGCAACGCCGCGUGAGUGAUGAAGGUCUUCGGAUCGUAAAACUCUGUUAUUAGGGAAGAACAAAUGUGUAAGUAACUAUGCACGUCUUGACGGUACCUAAUCAGAAAGCCACGGCUAACUACGUG